GACAGUAGGUGUAGCGCAAGUGUAAGCAUGUCGGGAGUUGUGCGUAUUUCCCGUAAAUAAAACGUUCAACCUUUUUAAAUGGCGAAAGACAAUACGCCCUUGCUGCCUAAUCAGAUUUAGAUAGCAAUGUGUCUCUCUCACCCCUCGUUCUGCCGGGUGGGAAUAUGAGACAUCACAAAGCAGAACUGGUGUUGGUAGGUUCGUGAUAUCAGCA
rnacentral:sRNA from 1 species